GAAGAAUUAGCCAGCUCCACUGGAGAAGUCUGGAAGACAAAGACACAGCAGUCUAAACUACAGAUGAGAAGGGAAAAGUAAGGCACACAAAAAUUUAAAAUGUGGACUAUAAUAAGUCUCAGCUGGUGUAGUCCAG